AGGAGGAAAAGCAACAGUGGCGGCGGCCAGGUCUGGAGCCCUGGAUUCAGCUCCCAUAAUAACUGUAGAGCUCUCCGUCUGCAGGGCCUGGAGGCUCCGGGGCGGG
rnacentral:pre_miRNA from 1 species